rnacentral:rRNA from 1 species
UGGGUGAUCUGCCCUGCACUUUGGGAUAAGCCUGGGAAACUGGGUCUAAUACCGAAUACACCUUGCUGGCUGCAUGGCCUGGUGGGGGAAAGCUUUUGCGGUGUGGGAUGGGCCCGCGGCCUAUCAGCUUGUUGGUGGGGUGAUGGCCUACCAAGGCGACGACGGGUAGCCGGCCUGAGAGGGUGUCCGGCCACACUGGGACUGAGAUACGGCCCAGACUCCUACGGGAGGCA